AUACGGAGGAUGCAAGCGUUAUCCGGAUUUAUUGGGUUUAAAGGGUGCGUAGGCUGUUCGGAAAGUCAGGGGUGAAAGCCCGGCGCCUAACGCCGGAACUGCCUUUGAUACUUCCGAGCUGGAAUACGGAUGCCGUGGGAGGAAUGAGUAGUGUAGCGGUGAAAUGCAUAGAUAUUACUCAGAACACCGAUUGCGAAGGCAUCUCACGAAUCCGUCAUUGACGCUGAGGCACGAAAGCGUGGGGAUCAAACAGGAUUAGAUACCCUGGUAGUCCACGCAGUAAACGAUGAUGACUAACCGUCGGCGAUACACAGUCGGUGGCCAAGCGAAAGCGAUAAGUCAUCCACCUGGGGAGUACGUUCGCAAGAAUGAAACUCAAAUGAAUUGGCGGGG
rnacentral:rRNA from 1 species